AUUCUUUUUAUAUGCCAAAAACUCUCUCCAUUCUCUAGUUCUUAGUUCUGCAUCUUCAAGCCAAGGAGGAGGAGGAGAAGGAGCCGUGAGAAUCAUCUUGCCUAGCCAUCUUCCACUUUGUGCCGUAUCUCUUGAGGAGCCUUGCUUUCAAGAUCUUCAAGCUUCAACGUCUACAAGUUCAUCAUUCAUCCUUCAUGGGUUAAAUUGUGUGCUACUUUUAGCAUGUUUUCAAAGCAAACCAAGGCUUGAUCAAAACACCAAACCCCACCUCAGAGUACCUUGUUGCCAUCACGUACUGAUUCAAAGGAGAACAAGAAUAAAUCUCCAGCCCGUUCUUGAACCCUAAAUUCUGCAUUAGGAUCAACCGGCUUGCGGGUCAGAGGUUUUUCAAUCAGAAAAGAUUGGGAUGACAUGUGAACAGGGCCACCACCAAUCUUUCCAAGGUCAUGAGCGUUGCCUCCUUCAGCGAGGGCAAGGGAAGCAGCGAAGCUUGUAGUGAUAGCAUCAAUGGAAGCCAUCGGAUGGAGAGAAGUCGAGAAGAGAGUGAUAACAGGAAACUAGGGAAGGAGGCUAGGGCGCCGUUGAAGACUAGGUUGAGAGAAAAGCUCUCCUAGGGUUUUUUUUAUAUAUUGAAAACGCUAUGUAAUUAAGUUAGUGUUUCCUUUAUAACACUUUUCUCUAUCUUUUGUAAUAUACACAA